GUAAGGAAUAUUGCUCAAUGGCCGAAAGGCUGAAGCAGCAACGCCGCGUGAGGGACGAAGGGCUUAAGCUUGUAAACCUCUGUAACGGGGGAAAAAACUUCCACUUAAGUGGAAUAUGAUGGUACCCCGAAAGUAAGCGUCGGCUAACUACGUGCCAGCAGCCGCGGUAAUACGUAGGACGCAAACGUUGUCCGGAUUUACUGGGUGUAAAGGGUGCUCAGGCGGUCUUGUAAGUCAGAGGUGAAAUCUCCCGACUCAAUCGGGAAACUGCCUUUGAUACUGUGAGGCUUGAGUGCAGAAGAGGCGGAUGGAAUUUCUGGUGUAGCAGUGAAAUGCGUAGAUAUCAGAAAGAACACCAGUGGCGAAGGCGGUCCGCUGGUCUGUCACUGACGCUAAAGCACGAAAGCGUGGGUAGCAAACAGGAUUAGAUACCCUUGUAGUCC
rnacentral:rRNA from 1 species